GGAUGAAGAACGUAGCGAAAUGCGAUACUUGGUGUGAAUUGCAGAAUCCCGUGAACCAUCGAGUCUUUGAACGCAAGUUGCGCCCGAAGCCAUCAGGUUGAGGGCACGUCUGACUGGGCGUCACAUAUCGUUGCCCAAUGCCUAUUGCAGUGCAAUAGGAAUUUCUAGGGCGAAUGAUGGCUUCCCGUGAGCGUUGUUGCCUCGCGGUUGGUUGAAAAUCGAGUCCUUGGUAGGGUGUGCCAUGGUAGAUGGUGGUCGAGUUAGAACGAUACCGAUCAUGUGCAUGCUCCCCAAAAUAUGGCCUCUAUGACCCACACGCGUCUUUUGACGCUCAUGACGAGACCUCAGGUCAGGCGGGGCUACCCGCUGAAUUUAAGCAUAUCAAUAAGCGGAGGA
rnacentral:misc_RNA from 1 species